GCUAUGGGGAGGCUACCGAAAGGAAACGGGCCGAGUCCAGUUGUAUAAGCGGUUUUCGCCUUCCACGAGCGCGUGUGGAAAAGCGCGGAGUUGGGUGGAGGGCAGCUGCAACGACUGCCUCCUGGACUGGGUGCGGUAAUUGUGCAUUUUUUCAUCCUACAUCUCAAGAGACCGAGGGACCUCAGUAAAUUGAUCUACUUGCCAAUGACUAUAAGAAGGACAAAGAAGUUGUAAAAACAUCUAAAUGAUGUUAAACAUAAAUUAGCUCAGAAUAGGUUUGAAGAAGGAAAACUACCAGGGUCAAAGCAUGCAAUAAAAAUUGAUGUGCCAUUAACUAUGGGUCCCCAUGAAUGGCAUCAAUUUUAAUGUAUCAUGUUGUAUCCAUCAAAACGAAACUUCGGAGACCAGCCCUGUAAUUGAACCCUGGACAUGGAUGUGAAAGUGGACAGAAAUUAAUACCUUAGUGAACUUAAAACCUUAUGGCUUUUGUGCGGUCCAGACAAGUCCUGUUAAGGGCAAUUAAGUUCAGAAAUGCACCUUUUCUAUCAAAAACAUCCUAGUCUUUCCUCCCAGGCCUUUUGACAGUUCAUCUGCAUUUACAUGUCUAUUCUAAUCAAGCACAAACCAAAAAAAAAAAAGUAUCUAUAGAAGUCAUAUUGAUAACAUCAUUGCACAUAUGACAUUCUCUAGCUAAAAUAAUUCAAUAUUUGUAAUUGUAAAAUGUUACUAUCAUAACUUAUGGUUUUAUAAUAGGCUAUGAAUUAAUGAUUUCAUUUUAUCUUAACUCAUACUACCCCAAGAGACAUUAUUAUUAUCACGAGGUUACACAAGAAAAUGGGCCUAGAAAUGCCAAAAGUAUGCCCAAGAUCAUUACACAGGUUCCAGUUCUAGAUUGACACACACUUGUUUGCCAAAAAGUUUCCUUUUAUAAAGUAUUUUUAUCGCAUGAUGGUGGUCGCUUCUUUUUCUUUUGAUAUACUUUGGGUAUAAUCACAAUUGUCCUUAUUGUAUAAAAAGGAACUAUUCUGAAGCAAAGAGAGUUCAAGAAAGUAGCCAUACUCAGACAGGUUAAUAAAUGCAUCCAAACUUUUAAAUUACAACACUGUAUUUUGCUUUUUCCUAUGUUAUAGGAAAGAAAUUUAAAAGUAUGGUAUUGAAAGAUGUACAACUGACUUUGGAAAAAGGGUUCAUCUCUAAUUGGUGUUUGUAAGUUAUCUAAAUAAACAUUUUUAAACUAUCA